rnacentral:rRNA from 1 species
AGCGGCGGACGGGUGAGUAAUGCGUGGGAAUAUGCCCUUUGGUAUGGAAUAGCCCCUGGAAACGGGGAGUAGUACCGUAUGUGCCCUACGGGGAAAAGAUUUAUCGCCAAAGGAUUAGCCCAUGUUGGAUUAGCUGGUUGGUGAGGUAAAAGCUCACCAAGGCGACGAUCUAUAGCUGGUUUGAGAGGAUGAUCAGCCACACUGGGACUGAGACACGGCCCAGACUCCUACGGGAGGCAGCAGUGGGGAAUAUUAGACAAUGGGCGAAAGCCUGAUCUAGCCAUGCCGCGUGAGUGAAGAAGGCCCUAGGGUUGUAAAGCUCUUUCAGAUGUGAGGAUGAUGACAGUAACAUCAGAAGAAGCCCCGGCUAACUUCGUGCCAGCAGCCGCGGUAAUACGAAGGGGGCUAGCGU